rnacentral:rRNA from 1 species
GUCUACAGCCAUGCCACCCUGAAUAUGCCCGAUCCUGUCUGAUCUCAGAAGCUAAGGAGGGUCAAGCCUGGUCAGUACUUGGAUGGGAGACUACGGAGGAAGACCAGGUGCUGUAGACA